GCCUGGGUGGCUCAGUCGGUUGAGCAUCCGACUCGUAUUCGGGUUGUGAUCUCGCGGUUCGUGGGUUCGAGCCCCAUCUUGGGCU